UGGGGAAUUUGGACAAUGGGCGAAAGCCUGAUCCAGCAAUGCCGCGUGUGUGAAGAAGGCCUUCGGGUUGUAAAGCACUUUUGUCCGGGAAAGAAAUCCUUGGCUCUAAUACAGUCGGGGGAUGACGUACCGGAAGAAUAAGCACCGGCUAACUACGUGCCAGCAGCCGCGGUAAUACGGUAGGGUGCAAGCGUUAAUCGAAUUACUGGGCGUAAAGCGUGCGCAGGCGGUUUGCUAAGACCGAUGUGAAAUCCCCGGGCUCAACCUGGGAACUGCAUUGGUGACUGGCAGGCUAGAGUAUGGCAGAGGGGGGUAGAAUUCCACGUGUAGCAGUGAAAUGCGUAGAGAUGUGGAGGAAUACGAUGGCGAAGGCAGCCCCCUGGGCCAAUACUGACGCUCAUGCACGAAAGCGUGGGGGAGCAAAACAGGAUUAGAUACCCUGGUAGUCCACGCCCU
rnacentral:rRNA from 1 species